AGUGAACGCUGGCGAUAGGCCUAACACAUGCAAGUCGAACGGCAGCACAGUAAGAGCUUGCUCUUACGGGUGGCGAGUGGCGGACGGGUGAGGAAUACAUCGGAAUCUACUUUUUCGUGGGGGAUAACGUAGGGAAACUUACGCUAAUACCGCAUACGACCUACGGGUGAAAGCAGGGGAUCUUCGGACCUUGCGCGAUUGAAUGAGCCGAUGUCGGAUUAGCUAGUUGGCGGGGUAAAGGCCCACCAAGGCGACGAUCCGUAGCUGGUCUGAGAGGAUGAACAGCCACACUGGAACUGAGACACGGUCCAGACUCCUACGGGAGGCAGCAGUGGGGAAUAUUGGACAAUGGGCGCAAGCCUGAUCCAGCCAUACCGCGUGGGUGAAGAAGGCCUUCGGGUUGUAAAGCCCUUUUGUUGGGAAAGAAAAGCAGCAGGUUAAUACCCCGCUGUUCUGACGGUACCCAAAGAAUAAGCACCGGCUAACUUCGUG
rnacentral:rRNA from 1 species